AGUGUUUCAGUUAUAUUCAACAUUUUACAUAUACAGUACAAACAAAUCCAUUUAAAAGAUGAAGCCAUGCAAACAAAGUAUUCAUAUUUACUGUAACAACGUAGCCUCCAAUUUUGCAGAGGGUUAAAUAACAAUUAAAAAUAGUAUAACCAUCAACCUCCAGAAAGCAUGUCUGUAUGAAUAAGUACAACAAAAUGCAUUUGAACUCUUGCCUUAGCGCCUUAUUGGAAAACUAAAUGUCGUCAAGCAAUACACUUUUUAAAAAAUAAAAAUGGACAUUUUGUCCCUAAAAUAAGUGAACAAAUCCACCAAUGGAUAGCAUGAUUUAACUUGAUACGAUUCUUAAAAUAACAUCUUGUAUUUUAAAAUUUAUUUUCGUCCUGCUUAAAAUUUAGAAGAAAAAAAAAAGUCAGAAUUAUAAAAAAAAGUACAGCAAGAUGUUUUCACUAGAAAUAAGAUAAAUUCACUUGGUAAGAUUUUGAGUUGUUUGUGAUGCGAAUCUAUUAAUAGGAGAGUUGGCUGAACGGGAGCAUGAGGUAAUUUUGCUUAUGUACAUGAAAUUAGUUGGCAGAAACCACGAAGGAUUCCUAAAAAGAAUCGCAGAGAAAGACGUUUCAUCACCUAAUUUUUGUGGCUAUUUAUCACAAUAUGCAAGUUUGUUGCCAAUUUAUGCCAAGCAAAGCUUGUGUACAACAGCGGCACUCAGGUUUUGCCUGAUCCUUCCACAAUUACAGACAAAUGGGACCCAAAUCCAUGCACACAAAACUCUUGUCCAGCCUGCAGCAUCCAGACUAGUUCUGUAAGUAUUUCUUCUAAAGGAUUUGUACCUGCAUAACAAUAAAUUCCUCAUGAAUUAAACAUGAAUGCAACUCAAACGAUAAGACAUAUUUACAGUUGAAGAGUAGCCAGGACAACUUUCAUCAUUGCUUUAUGUUCCUAGUAUGAAGAACAAUAGUUAAUAGUUUAGUAGUCUAGGUAUCUUUUAUUUAUUUUAUUGUUUCUUCUAUAUAAAAUAUAGUAUGUUUUAUAAUUAAAUGGGGAAAAUAUGAGAGAAAAUUGACAUUCAUUUCAUGCAAUUUCAAGUAAAAUUACCUAUAUUGGGAUACAGGAAGUCCUCGAGUUACGAUGUACUCGACCUACGACGUUUCGACAUUACGACGCCCGUGCCUCGUCUGCAAUUUUGUCCCCAGCACCAUAGUGUUUCUGCUUAGCUAGUGCAUAGUGCUUGUCUGUGUUUGUACGCCGGGAGUAUCUUUGCCUUUUUCGCCCUCUUUUUUUCACACUCUCAGCAGUAAUGGUAAGUACAGCAUCUUAUUUUUUUAUUUUAAUGUAUUUUAGUUUCUUUAUACGAAGUGUUAACCUUUCCUGCUACGGUCACCUGACCGUGGUCAGGAGACGCAGGGGAGACGCCUUCUCCAGGGCCGAAGUUGUCCUCCUCAGGGUUAACUCCCUUCUCUCGUUGCACAGCUGAGCUGGGUGGCGGGAACAAUAAAGGCACGAAGCACCGAUUUGCUGCUUUAAUGGCUUUAUUAGCUCCUCUGCACAUUGAACGUCAACGGGUCAUCCGCUAAUCGCUACUCUUCCCUGGUCGCCGUCACUACACUUGCCACUGUAAACACUCGCACCUGUGUGCACGCCUUCCUCCUUCACAGUCGCCGGACGACGCCUGCGCAAUCCCGUCUCACCCACACAUCGACGCACACGUCCACACACACUGAGCUUGCUGUCACAAUCAUGUGGGACAAUACCCGUAACAGAAGUAUUUCGACGUAAAUUUCGACUUUAACGGUGAAAUCCGACUUAUGCGGAAAUUCGGGUUACGUCGCCAGCGUAGGAACGGAACUCGUUCAUAAAUCGAGGACUUCCUGUAUACACUAAUAUUUUGCCCAUUUUGGAGAGCAGUAGGUGUACCUCAUGUUGUGACUGGUGAGUGUAUAUGAAUGAUUUCUAGAUAUGGUGAAAACAUUCCUGAAUGUAUUUUUAUGAACGUGUUGAACAAGAUCUAUCUUUAGUGGUCUUAUCUUUAGUAGUAAACACGGAGAAUCGGCCACAUCAAAGUUGUCCCAGCUCAAAGCGUCCAGUGCACACAUUUUGAUAGUCAGAGGAGGUUUUUUUUCCAUGCCAUUUUCUGUCCAGAGCAUCCACACCAGAGAGACUGCCAAGAUGAAAAGGAACUUUUACAACCAGCUUGUGUUGAGGACUUCGCAGCCCACACCUGUUCUGAGACAAACACACGUCUCUGCUGCGAACGUCAAAGAGUCGACUGACUGGGAAGGCUUAAACCAAAUGCACACUCCUGCAGAACAGGAGUCCGAGAAUCUGACACCUCGCAGCGCACAGGAGGAGAGAGGAGAUGGGAGGAGGUCGUGGAGAGAGAAUGGAAGCAAAAUGAGAGCGAUAGACGGCUGGAAGGAGGGAGUGAAGAGUGGAUCAAUAUGUCACCGAAAGAGCACCCCUGAUGAUCUCUCACGGUACCUUAGUGUGCCACGGCACCAUGUUUGAGAACCACAGUUUUUAGACGAGGAGAGGGAUGAUUGGCAGCUUCCAGACGCUGGAGGAGCACGUGACAGGUCUGGCUUGUGUUAUUUAUGAAGUCUCUCAGUCCCAGCCCCCACUCCGCAGCACAGAUGCAGGUGGGGUUUCAUUAUUGAAGAUGCUCUUCCAGUUUUUAUUAGAUCUCCCUCUCUCAGAGUGCAUUACGGAAUUGCAUUUGGAUGGAGAGUCGGCAUUGCAUGAGGGUCUGUCUUUGUAGCCCUGGAGUGCAUCUUAACGAUGUGUGUGCAACAUCAGCCAACAGCUUCUUCUUCUUUUUUUUAAUUUUUUUUAUUUUAUCAAUGCAGGCAGGCUUGUGUGUGUAUAUUUAUAUUCAAACAGCACACAAAACGACACAUCUUUUUCUUAUUGAGCUCCAUGUGUGGAUAGGAAGAUACAUGUUGAUGUAUUGAAAAACAAAACAAAACAAAAAAGAACAUUUUGACCAAAACAUUGAGGCCAUAAAACGCUUACAGUCCCACCCUAAGUGAUGCGCAAUUCCUCACUUGUGUCCUACUUCUUUCCACUUUUGUUUGAGAGCACUCGCUGCAGGCUGGCGGGGCAUUUGCAAGAUUCAUGAGCAUCUCCAGGCUGUGAGGACCAUGAUUCUCUGCAUCAAUCAACGGGUUCACUCCCAGCUGUUUAUUGAUUCUAUUUUACAGGCUCGAAGAGCAGUGUUGGGUUUAAUGUCAAAAAAAAAAAAAAAAAAAGGCUUCGUACACACUGUUAAAUAUUAGUGAGUAAAAAUAACAAUGCAAUAAAUUUUGGUACCAUGGCCGUGUCAGUCUUGAGUAUGACCCCGAAUAGCAAAUUGAUGAAUAACUGACGCUACCAUUAGGAGUGAUUAUAAUUGCCUGUAUUAAUAAGUUAAACCUUACAUAGUGUAUACCACACCCUUUAAUAGCAUUUCAAAUGCUUACAAACAUCUUCAAACAUCAGUGUACACUUAAACACACAGCACAGUAAAAAGCUUACAGCUAAGCACACACAUACACAAUGCGCAAUACCUGUCCGAACAUGGCAACAACUCCGAUGAUGAUGGCGGUGAUGAUGAUGCUAAAGAAUGAAGUGCUAACCGAGCACCUCAGUGUUGACAGACCCAAAAGUGCAAUAUCCACGCAGCGUGGUUAUGAUCAGCUGAGCCGUCGUGACGGACUCCACUGAUUUUGAUGCCGGAUUUAGUCCUAGUUUUUGCAGAACUCGCUAGCGCAGCAUAGACGUGGGCGCCGCCAUCUUAUCUAUCAGCUCCCGCUGUCUGUCACAAAUCAAACGCAGCUGCUGCUACAUCUGUAAUUGGGUG